CAGCAGUGAGGAAGGUGGGUAUGUUAAUAGCAUAUUCAUUUGACGUUAGCUGCAGAAGAAGCACCGGCUAACUCCGUGCCAGCAGCCGCGGUAAUACGGAGGGUGCGAGACGUUAAUCGGAAUUACUGGGCGUAAAGCGCAUGCAGGUGGUUUGUUAAGUCAGAUGUGAAAGCCCGGGGCUACAACCUACGGAAUUGCUAUUUGAAACUGGACAAACUAGAGUACUGUAGAGGGGGUAGAAUUUCAGGUGUAGCGGUGAAAUGCGUAGAGAUCUGAAGGAAUACCGGUGGCGAAGGCGGCCCCCUGGACAGAUACUGACACUCAGAUGCGAAAGCGUGGGGAGCAAACAGGAUUAGAUACCCUGGUAG
rnacentral:rRNA from 1 species